UACGUAGGGUGCAAGCGUUGUCCGGAAUUAUUGGGCGUAAAGAGCUCGUAGGCGGUCUGUUGCGUCGGCUGUGAAAACUCGGGGCUCAACUCCGAGCCUGCAGUCGAUACGGGCAGACUAGAGUGCGGUAGGGGAGACUGGAAUUCCUGGUGUAGCGGUGAAAUGCGCAGAUAUCAGGAGGAACACCGAUGGCGAAGGCAGGUCUCUGGGCACUUACUGACGCUGAGGAGCGAAAGCGUGGGGAGCGAACAGG
rnacentral:rRNA from 1 species